rnacentral:rRNA from 1 species
UACGUAGGGUGCAAGCGUUAAUCGGAAUUACUGGGCGUAAAGCGUGCGCAGGCGGUGAUGUAAGACAGGUGUGAAAUCCCCGGGCUUAACCUGGGAACUGCAUUUGUGACUGCAUUGCUGGAGUGCGGCAGAGGGGGAUGGAAUUCCGCGUGUAGCAGUGAAAUGCGUAGAUAUGCGGAGGAACACCGAUGGCGAAGGCAGCCCCCUGGGCCGACACUGACGCUCAUGCACGAAAGCGUGGGGAGCAAACAGG